CACAGCGCGCCGGGCCGGGCCGGGGGCGGACUGCAGCGGCCCUUCUGCGGGGCUGCUGCCGCCCGCUGGCUCCGCGCGUCCCCUGCCCGCCGCGAGCGGGACGCGCGGACGGUUCAAACCGAGCUGCCCCCGGUUCCUGACUAUCAUCCUGCUUUCUAGAAGGUGAGAAGUAGCAUGUUUUGGAGUCAGUAUGUAGUUGUGAACAUUUGAAAAAGUUCAAAGAGGACAUUUCCGUAAAUAACAAGAUAUUCGGAGAAGCAUAACCUAUUGGUGAUCCUCUGUUGCCCAGUAGUGUCCAAAGAUCUAUGAGAUCAGCAAGAGAGUACUUGAGUUGAAGAGCCAGAACAGAGAUGUGAGCGUGCAAAAAGAAAGGAGAUACAAUCAUGAAGGAAGUGGCUGGGAAGCUCCAAGGAUGCAACUGUUUUCCUCUAUCAUGGGAGGGACCCCAGCUCCUUCAACCUUCAGUGGCUGUGGCUGCAGUCCCUCAGUGCCAACAUCAUUCCAGUCAUGCAUAUCCUACAGUGACACCAGAGCUCUUUUUAGCUCCAAUGUCAUCCAGAAGGCGUGGAGUUGGCGGGAAAACAUCAUCAGUGAACCUUCAAAGCUUCUGAAUCUGGCACCCCACUUGUUCUAUGGACAUCCACAAGGUUCAGUAAAUAAAUCCAGCAAGUAACUGUGUCAAGACAAGAGUCUUACUCUGAUUUUUAUACACAUAGUGUGUUGUGCCUCUUCAACUUGAGAAUUAAAAAAAAAAAAUUACUCUUAUGUACAGUCCUUUUAUGAAUGCCUCGUUUAGUCUUCAUCUUUCAAAGGAGGGAGAAGUUACUCAUUACGAAGUCUUUAAAUGUGGAUUAAAGGACAGUAUUUUGAAAUAAGUAGAAGAAAAUCUUUCCUUUCUCUGAUCUUCAGCCAAACUUGUGUUUCCUUAGAAGUGUUCGGAUUUUUAUUUUGUUUAGUUGUCAGGCAUGGGUUGUUUUUGUUUAAAUAUGAUAUUUCUUAAAUAUUAGUCACAAGGCAGAAGUGGAGUGCAACUUCUAGUUAGUAGAGGUUGUAGUUAGAAACUCAGUUCUAUGUUGUGAAAACAAGAAGUGAAUAUCUCGUGAGUGUCUUUUCUCAAGUGAUUAAAUGUUUCUGAGUGCUGAGCAUUUACUGUGAAUUGUUCCCACUUGCUGGGUUUGUCAUAGUGUUUGCUUCUUUGUGAUUUAUAUAGUGAAAAAACAAUAAAAGUUAUGGGUAAGUAUGUAAAACA
rnacentral:lncRNA from 1 species